GAGCUUGCUCCCUGAUGUUAGCGGCGGACGGGUGAGUAACACGUGGGUAACCUGCCUGUAAGACUGGGAUAACUCCGGGAAACCGGGGCUAAUACCGGAUGCUUGUUUGAACCGCAUGGUUCAAACAUAAAAGGUGGCUUCGGCUACCACUUACAGAUGGACCCGCGGCGCAUUAGCUAGUUGGUGAGGUAAUGGCUCACCAAGGCGACGAUGCGUAGCCGACCUGAGAGGGUGAUCGGCCACACUGGGACUGAGACACGGCCCAGACUCCUACGGGAGGCAGCAGUAGGGAAUCUUCCGCAAUGGACGAAAGUCUGACGGAGCAACGCCGCGUGAGUGAUGAAGGUUUUCGGAUCGUAAAGCUCUGUUGUUAGGGAAGAACAAGUACCGUUCGAAUAGGGCGGUACCUUGACGGUACCUAACCAGAAAGCCACGGCUAACUACGUGCCAGCAGCCGCGGUAAUACGUAGGUGGCAAGCGUUGUCCGGAAUUAUUGGGCGUAAAGGGCUCGCAGGCGGUUUCUUAAGUCUGAUGUGAAAGCCCCCGGCUCAACCGGGGAGGGUCAUUGGAAACUGGGGAACUUGAGUGCAGAAGAGGAGAGUGGAAUUCCACGUGUAGCGGUGAAAUGCGUAGAGAUGUGGAGGAACACCAGUGGCGAAGGCGACUCUCUGGUCUGUAACUGACGCUGAAGAGCGAAAGCGUGGGGAGCGAACAGGAUUAGAUACCCUGGUAGUCCACGCCGU
rnacentral:rRNA from 1 species